UGAUGACUGUUUCCUUUGCUGUGCAGAAACUUUUUACCUUGAUGAAGUCCCACAAGUUCAUUUUUUCUUUUGUUUCUCUUGCCUUUGGAGAUGUGUCAUGAAAGAAGAUGCUGUGACCAAUGUCGAAGAAGUUGCGCCUAUGUUCUCCUCUAUGAUUUGGAUGGAUUCCUGUUUCACAUCGAGGUCUUUCAUCCAUUUGGAGUUUAUCUUUGUGUAUGGUGUUACUUCUUGAAGAUGAGAUGAUAUCCUUCAAAUGUGAGCCCUCUAUCUCAAUGCUACAAUAGAGUUCAGUUUUAAUGGACAAAAUCACAGAAUCGGAAAUUUUAUUUAUACAAAUAUCUUUUGACAGCUUUGCCCACUUUUAAAAUUCUGAGGGAAGUUAAGUUCUUCCAUGGACCGCCUAAGAGCAGCGCUGUAAGAAGCAACCACCUCUUCUCUUCCUCUCUGCCAUCUGCUCAGCAGCCACAAGGCAGCAACCAUGUGCAAAUUCAUUUCCAUCCAGGCUGGUGUUCAGAUUGGCAAUGCCUGCUGGGAGCUCUACUGCCUGGAACAGGGCAUCCAGCCCAAUGGUCAGAUGCCAAUUAACAAGACUACUGGGGGAGGAGAUAAC